GGGAGUAUAGCCCAGUGGUAGGGCGCUUGCUUAGAUUGCAUGAGGUCCUGGGUUCAAUCCCCAGUUCCUCCA